CAGAAACAACAGAUUUAAGGAAACCUACGUAGUUCAAAUCCCCCAUUUUUAAGGAGGAGGGGAUAAAUCUACCCGAAAAAGACAAGAAAGGGGGGUUGAAAUAAUGCGGAGUUACUGAAAAGGGGGGGGGGUUAAAAAAGAGGGGAUGAGCAAAAAAAAGCUGUCGUAAAAAUUAAGAAACAAGAUUUUUUGAACAAGGAAUAAGAAGUGCAAAAGAAAUGAAAACUUCAGGACUAGGAUUUUUAGUCUGCAAACCAAGACGUCAUUUCCGACGGUCAUUCUUCGCUUGGAAAGUAACGGUCUGCGGACCCGAGCAGGAAUUCGAUUUCCGUGACGUAUGUCUGUUGUCUAUGUUUGCCAAUGAAAACGUAUGUUACAGCGAGAGCACGCGUUGCCGGUGCGCGAGCGCGUGUAUAACGCGUGUAGGACCACACGAACGGAGCCACGUUCUUUUUUAUAAAAAUAUAAAUUAUGAAUAUACUUGUAGUUUAUUCUGAAAAUACGAGGGAAACUUUGAAGAAGUAUACCCAGAAUACAACUACUGUAUCAAUGACAAUAUGGAUUAAAGUAAACACCUCUCAGUUGGAAAAUAUGAUGUGUGUUUUGGAAAAUAUAAUUGUUUUAGAAGUUAUUUGAAUAUAUUGAAUAUUUUCAACUUCAAUACUGGGCGACGCCGAAGAGGAUUGUCUAAAUAGUAUGUCGACCAUGAAAAAGUCGCAUAGAGUGUUAUCAAUAAAAACAUGGUGAGAAAAAUUAGUAUGAUAUAUCAUACUGGAAUUUCAAAAUGUUAUUCUCGGUCCAACAGCCAGACUAUAAACUUCCACAGCUCGUUCGAAAGAUUGUGAUUUGAACCACUGUAGUCUGCGAAGAAUAUAAUUUCCUACGCAUUAGCCAUUACAAUACAUUAGUACGUUAUUCAAAUACUGUAUGAAGAAACGUGCAGACAUGGACAAAGUCAUGUAAUCUUUGUAUGUGUCAGUCCUUUUAUUCUGUUCCAAUUGCAG